rnacentral:rRNA from 1 species
UACGUAGGGGGCAAGCGUUGUCCGGAUUUAUUGGGCGUAAAGAGCGUGUAGGCGGCCAGGCAGGUCCGCUGUGAAAACUCGAGGCUCAACCUCGAGAGGUCGGUGGAAACCGUCUGGCUAGAGUCCGGAAGAGGAGAGUGGAAUUCCCGGUGUAGCGGUGAAAUGCGCAGAUAUCGGGAAGAACACCCGCGGCGAAGGCGGCUCUCUGGGACGGUACUGACGCUGAGACGCGAAAGCGUGGGGAGCGAACAGG